GGGCGAAAGCCUGAAGCAGCAACGCCGCGUGCGCGAUGAAGGCCUUCGGGUCGUAAAGCGCUUUUGAGAGGGACGAGAUAGGACGGUACCCCUGGAAUAAGUCACGGCUAACUACGUGCCAGCAGCCGCGGUAAAACGUAGGUGGCAAGCGUUAUCCGGAUUCAUUGGGCGUAAAGCGCGCGUAGGCGGUCGUGCAAGUCGGUUGUGAAAUCCCGGGGCUCAACCCCGGGACUGCGUCCGAUACUGUGCGACUGGAGGCAGGUAGGGGAGAUCGGAAUUCCUGGUGUAGCGGUGAAAUGCGCAGAUAUCAGGAGGAACACCGGUGGCGAAGGCGGAUCUCUGGGCCUUGCCUGACGCUGAGGCGCGAAAGCUAGGGGAGCGAACAGGAUUAGAUACCCUGGUAGUCCUAGCCGUAAACGUUGGGUGCUAGGUGUGGGCGGACAUCGACCCCGUCCGUGCCGAAGCUAACGCAUUAAGCACCCCGCCUGGGGAGUACGGCCGCAAGGCUA
rnacentral:rRNA from 1 species